ACCAGACUCCUACGGGAGGCAGCAGUGAGGAAUAUUGGUCAAUGGCCGGAAGGCUGAACCAGCCAAGUCGCGUGAGGGAAUAAGGCCCUAUGGGUCGUAAACCUCUUUUGUCAGGGAGCAAAGGCGUCCACGUGUGGACGAGAGGAGAGUACCUGAAGAAAAAGCAUCGGCUAACUCCGUGCCAGCAGCCGCGGUAAUACGGAGGAUGCGAGCGUUAUCCGGAUUUAUUGGGUUUAAAGGGUGCGUAGGCGGAGUGUCAAGUCAGCGGUAAAAUUUCGGGGCUCAACCCCGUCGUGCCGUUGAAACUGGCAGUCUCGAGUUGGAGAGAAGUAUGCGGAAUGCGCGGUGUAGCGGUGAAAUGCAUAGAUAUCGCGCAGAACUCCGAUUGCGAAGGCAGCAUACCGGCGCCCAACUGACGCUGAAGCACGAAAGCGUGGGUAUCGAACAGGAUUAGAUACCCUCGUA
rnacentral:rRNA from 1 species